ensembl:lncRNA
UGGAAGUUCCCAGGCUAGGGGUCUAAUCGGAGCUGUAGCCGCUAGCCUAUGCCAGAGCCACAGCAACACGGGAUCCGAGCCGCGUCUGUAACCUACACCACAGCUCACGGCAACGCUGGAUCCUUCACCCACUGAGCAAGGCCAGGGAUCGAACCCGCCACCUCAUGGUUCCCAGUCAGAUUUGUUAACCACUGCGCCACAACGGGAACUCCUACACCACAACUUUUAAUUUACACCUACAGUUCAAGUGUGUCAGAUAUUUGGCUUGAAAAAAUGCUAAUUCUAACAAGGGUGGCCGGCACAGGGAAAGGACUCGAGAUCAUGAUUUGAAGAAAACAGGCUGUUUUGUCUGAGAAACAAGAAGGGGGUUGUUGUGUGGUCUCAAGGACUACAGGUGGGACAGGGAGUGGAAGUCAGGGCUCCUGGUUUACAGCCCAAGGAAGGAGCUUUUUCCUUUUUCUGCUUUUUGCUUUUUAGGGCCGCACCCAUGGCCUAUGGAAGUUCCCAGGCUAGGGGUCUAAUCGGAGCUGCAGCUGCCGGCCUGCACCACAGCCACAGCAACACUAGAUCCGAGCCAUGUCUGUGACUUACACCACAGCUCACGGCAAAGCCAGAUCCUUAACCUACUAAGCAAGGCCAGGGAUCAAACCCACAUCCUCAUGGAUCCUAGUUGGUUACCACCGAGUCACUAUGCGAACUCCCUAGGAAGGAACUUUCUAAUAGCUGCUUCUAGAAGAAGUGAACUGUCUGACCCAGGAAGGGUCCUGGCCUCCAUCCCACAGGGAGAAAAUCCGAAUGUUGGCUGGCAAUUAUGGGGUGCCUCUUCCAUGCCAGGCACCUUCAUUACACUUUUGUCAUUUCAUCCUAUCAACCCAGUGUGGAGCAUUCCCAUUACAGACAAGGGAUGGCCUCAGAGGAGCAAACAGCCCAAGAUCACGGAACGAGUCGUGGUGGAGCCAGGCAGGAUUUGGAGUUAGGCCACCCAAGCCCCCAUUGUUGCCAUUACACUCUCUUCCUGCUCACAGAGCUGUCCUUCUUGGAUGAUGGCUCAAUCCAGACUUCAGCCCCACCCAUGGGAGAAUAAAGACCAAGAGUUCCUGUCGUGGCUCAGUGGUAACCAACCCAACUAGCAUCCAUGAGGACUCGGGUUUGAUCCCGGGCCUCACUCAGUGGGUUAAAUAUCCAGCGUUGCCAUGAGCUGUGGCGUGGGUCGAAGACGUGGCUCGGAUCUUGCGUGGCUGUGGCUAUGGCUGGCAGCUGCAGCUCUGAUUUGACCCCAGCCUGGGAACUUUCAUAUGCCUUGAGUGUGGCCCUAAAAACAAAACAAAACAAAACAAACAAACAAAAAAAUCAGGCAGAGAGAAAGCACAGGUCAUUAGUCCUGACACAUGUGGGCUGACUUCACCAAAAUGAUCUCCUGGCAAAGGGCCUGGCUCCAGAGACCCCUAGCUGUUAUCCAUCCUUCCAGCUUCCUAAAGGCUUUCCCAGGUAUUUCCCAAUAGCCAGAGUGGGAGGGCAGCUUCCUCUUAUACUUCCUGUUUUCAUCUGGAACUGGGCUUGAAGUAUCUUUAUAAAGGUUCUGGAGGAGUCCCCUGGUGGCCUAGCGGUUAGGAAUUUGGCAUUGUCGCUGCUGGGGCUGUGUUUGAAUCUGGCCUGGAAACUUCCUCAUGCCAUGGGCACAGUCGAAAAAUAAAAAUAUUUUAUCACAUGCCAAAAUCAUGAAAUUCAAACCCCAGUGUUCAUAAAUAAUUUGCUGACAUAUUCUUUAUGUAAGGCCUCUUUGAAGAAGGGCAGAGGGGAGUUCCCACUGUGGUGCAGUGGGUUAAGGCUCUGACCACAGCAGCUUGGGUCACUGCGGAAGUAUGAGUUUGAUCCCUGACCCAGUGCCCUGGGUUAAAGGAUCUUGUGUUACUGCAUCUGUGGCAUAGGUUGCAGUUGUGGCUUGGAUUCCACCCCUGGCCUGGGAGCUCCCAUGUGCCACAGGUGCAGCCAUAAAAUGAAAAAAAAAAAAAAAGAAAAAAGAAAAAAAAGGGCAGAAGUGAGUAGUGGUGACAGACCAUGCACCCCACAAGCCUAAACAAUGUGCCAUCUGGCCCUUUAAGAAAAGUUGCAAACUCUGUACACAGGACAUAUGCAUGAGGAGACACACAGAGAAAAGCUCUGCAGCAUGUUUGUGGCCACCAAUAAAUUAAUACAUAAAUACACUGUGGACCCUUUAUACCAGAUGUGCCUGCCCAGGCCUCCAGAAUGAAAAAUCCAGGAGGAGGAGUUCCCGUCGUGGUGCAGUGGUUAAUGAACACGACUAGGAACCAUGAGGUUGUGGGUUCGAUCCCUGGCCUUGCUCAGUAGGUUAAGGAUCUGGCGUUGCCCUGAGUUGUGAUGCAGGUCGCAGACUCAGCUCAGAUCUGGCAUUGCUGUGGCUCUGGUGUAGGCCGGCGGCUACAGCUCCGAUUAGACCCCUUGCCUGGGAACCUCCAUGUGCUACGGGUGCAGCCCUGAAAAGACCAAAAAAAAAAGAAAAAGAAAAAUCCAGGAGGAAAGGAGUUUGGUUUUUUAUUCAGUUGUACUUAAGAAUCUGCCCCCUUAGCCAAAGACAUCCUGAAAAAGAAAAAUGGAGCUGAAGGAAUCAGGCUCCUGGACAUCAGACUAUACUACAAAGCAACAAUCAUCAAAACCAUAUGGUACUGGCACAAAGACAGAAACAUAGAUCAGUGGAAUAGGAUAGAAAGCCCAGAAUUAAACCCACACAUCUACAGCCAACUCAUCUAUGACAAAGGAGGCAAGAAUAUACAAUGGAGAAAAGACAGCCUGUUCAAUAAGUGGUGCUGGGAAAACUGGACAGCCACAUGGAAAAGAAUGAAACUAGAACACUCCCUAACACCAUACACAAAAAUAAACUCAAAAUGGAUUAAAGAUCUAGAUAUAAGACCAGACACUAUAAAACUCUUAGAGGAAAACGUAGGCCAAACACUAUCCAACAUAAAUGACAGCAACAUCUUAGAUCCACCUCUUAAGAGUAAUGACAGUAAAAACAAAAAUAAACAAAUGGGACCCAAUUAAACUUAAAAGUUUCUUCACAGGAAAGGAAACCCUAAACAAAAUGAAAAGACAACCCACAGAGUGGGAGAAAAACUUUGCAAAUUAAUCAACUGACAAGAGAUUAAUCUCCAAAAUCUAUAAACACCUUCUGCAGCUCAAUACCAAA